rnacentral:rRNA from 1 species
CUGACCUGCAUCCGAUACGGUCGAGCUAGAGUUUGGUAGGGGAGACUGGAAUUCCUGGUGUAGCGGUGGAAUGCGCAGAUAUCAGGAGGAACACCGAUGGCGAAGGCAGGUCUCUGGGCCAAUACUGACACUGAGGAGCGAAAGCGUGGGGAGCGAACAGGAUUAGAUACCCUGGUAGUCCACGCCGUAAACGGUGGGCGCUAGUUGUGCGAACCUUCCACGGUUUGUGCGACGCAGCUAACGCAUUAAGCGCCCCGCCUGGGGAGUACGAUCGCAAGAUUAAAACUCAAAGGAAUUGACGGGGCCCCGCACAAGCAGCGGAGCAUGCGGCUUAAUUCGACGCAACGCGAAGAACCUUACCAAGGCUUGACAUAUACAGGAAUAUGGCAGAGAUGUCAUAGCCGCAAGGUCUGUAUACAGGUGGUGCAUGGUUGUCGUCAGCUCGUGUCGUGAGAUGUUGGGUUAAGUCCCGCAACGAGCGCAACCCUCGUUCUGCGUUGCCAGCAUUUAGUUGGGGACUCACAGGAGACUGCCGGGGUUAACUCGGAGGAAGGUGGGGAUGACGUCAAAUCAUCAUGCCCCUUAUGUCUUGGGCUGCACGCAUGCUACAAUGGCUGGUACAAACGGCUGCAAUACCGCAAGGUGGAGCGAAUCCGAGAAAGCCAGUCUCAGUUCGGAUUGGGGUCUGCAACUCGACCCCAUGAAGUCGGAGUUGCUAGUAAUCGUAGAUCAGCAACGCUACGGUGAAUACGUUCCCGGGGCUUGUACACACCGCCCGUCACAUCACGAAAGUCGGUAACACCCAAAGUCAGUGGCCCAACCGCAAGGA